CGAAGUUCUCCAUAAUUCGAACUAUUGAAUUGGCAAUAGAAGUCUAAAUGCAUACAAAUUACCUUCUGUGACUCGGAAGUCUCUCUAACUCGUAGUUUUUUUGUGGAUUAUGGUGAUUCGAGUUAGAGAAGUUCCACUGUAUUUUCUUAUUAUUUUUAAGUUUUUGUCCGAUUCUGCCCACUGUGCAAGCAUUGAUCAGCCGUUUAACCGAACAUACUUCGCGUUUUGUUGCGGUAGUAUUUGUAUGUAUGUAUUUUCAUUGAAGAAAUGCCGUGUUUUUGUUUACAUUCUGUAAAAUGACUGAAUUGAUAAAUUUAUUCAAAAAAUUAAGUGAGUUUUUUGAUCGCAAUUUACUUUGGGAGAAUAUUGAAGAGGCAUACGAGCUGGAUGCUGAAAAAGAGCAACAAAACAAAUCGAGUGCGGAUGAAAAACACUUAACUACUGCUCAACACACUAAAUCCGCCGUAUCUGGUUUGGCAUUUGUGCAGCGCGCACUCAACGAUUCGCAGGUGUUGUCCACGCUGCUUGAACUAUGCUCUUCCAUACGUAUUUUGCGCAGUGAAUCAAGUGCCAGUUAUGAUAAUACCUAUGAUUGUUGGGAUGAGGUGGUUAAAGUGUCGCCGCGUGAUUACUAUCUCAGUUUUGUGUAUGCUUUGGCGGGUCUGCCAACACUCGACCCAGCCUGUGCCGCAUAUACAAAACUUGCACUUGCUGCCGUCAAUACAUAUUUCCUGUCGUUGACUAUACCCGGCGCAAAAGGUUUCCAUAUCUUUGAACCCGAGGUAAUAGCACACUGUCUUCAGGUGUUCAGCUUGAUAGAACGCAUACAGCAUCCGGAUGUGCUGAGUCGUAUGUCGAGACAACAACCUAUCGAGAUAUGGGUACGAUUCUCUACAUUCUGCGAUGAUUUCAAAUUACUGCUGAGAUAUGUGCAUUUCAAUGACCACAAAGCCACACGCGACACCUUGCUGAAGAAACUAGUGAAUAUACUGUAUAUGAAUCAUGAGCGUGGAUAUGCAAAUAUGUACGCUGCCAAUUUACACGCUAAGUGCUAUGAAAUAUUUGAAGAAGUGGUAAACGCGCACAAUGGCGAACCAGAGGAAACACUAAUGAAGCUCAUGAAUAUGACAGUUUUUCUGCAUACUUACCCGCCGAAACCGAAAAGUACAAGCGGAACUGUCAUUAGCGGCGAUUGUGAACAUAUCUCCGAUUGGUUUAUAAAAUGUAUCUCGAAAUAUCCGCGUCUGCUCGUAAAAGUUUUGAAUUUCUAUAUCGAAUGCAUGGUCACCAAUCCGAUAAAGUCUUGGAAGACGGAGCAGACACAACGCGCACUGGAAUAUGCCGCAAAAUAUGAUGCUGCACUUUAUACCACAUGCAAUGAGUCGGCAGUGGAAUUUCUGUGUGAGGCCAUAUAUGCCGAGGAAGUUAUGAUACGCGCACGCACCAUAGAGUUAAUUUCACGCAUUUUGCAGCUGGAAGCGCAUGUUAAUUGGCAAAUGUUUCGUCAUGAAGUAUCGGACAUACCACGCGAGGUAUAUCUAAUAAACGAACUCAUAAAGAGUCUGCAGGAUUGCAACAACACGAUUAAACUGAAAGCAGUACAAGCGCUGCACGUUGCACUCACCAAAGGCUCACCGAACACUGUGAAAAUACUCAACGAAGGUAUACGCUAUACACGUUACCUUGAUCUUGAUGUCAAGCUGCCGGAUGAGCCACGCGUGCGUAAAAAUGAAAUACGCUACGAGAAACCCACUGCACUGGAGCCGAAAUAUAGUUUUGAAGGACACGGUUUGGUGGAGUUGUCAUUCUUGCAUUUGCCAGAAUAUGUUUACGCGAAUCUCUUUCAAAGUGCACAAUCGUAUAUUAGACGUGCGGGUGUUAUGUUUAUGGAGCAGCUAAUCAAACUAAAUCCACUGAUUAUUUUCAAUACAAAUUUUGUAACAGAAACAACGCGUUUGGUUGACGAACCCACUGCCUUGGUGCGAAAGCAGACGCUACUCAGCAUCGAUAGCAUACUUGGCAGCUAUCCGAACUGUUAUCCAGUCAUUUGGGUUUGGUGUAAAGUUGUGGCGCCCAUGUUGCACGAUGGUGAUCCAAAGAAUAUUGAAUUGGCAAUGGAUUGUUUUCGCGUACGUGUUUUAGCAAAUCUGCGUGGCAUCGAUCAGUCAAAUCAAGCGGAACAUUUCAUGCCUUGGGUUAUUAUACGUACAAUGCUGUCCACACAACCGCGGCUCUAUCUACAACAAUGCUUCCACAUGGCGCUACAGCAACGGUGCCUAACUCCACAGAUACUCAGCAUAAUCGAAUCACAUCUACUCACCUCGAAUUCUACAGAAGCUUGGAUUGUGCUCAAUUUCGUUUCUGGCAAGAUAAAAAGCAAAGAGCCCGACGCGCUUAUACACCAAUUCAUAUCAAUGAAAUCGUGGAACAAAGAACAAAAUAUGCUUAUUGCACUGGAAGUGCUCGCCAACUGCAUACAGGAUUUCUCGCACACCGCGCUCAAUCACGCCUUCAAUCACAUACUUACACAAAUACGUGAAGGUCAAAUUAUACCCGUACUCAUUGGCAAGGCAUUCGAUCUGCUCGUACAUAUUGAUAACUGUUCGCAAUCUCAGGCGUCCAAAAACAAAAGUCUCAAAUUUAAUCCAAUCGAGUUAACCGAAAAGGCUUGGCUGCUCGAAUUGCAUGAUUUGCUGGAAUUUCGCAUACUCUCCGGCAUAGCAGACUUUCCCGAUAAUCGCGCCACUUUCAUGUCACACCUUUACUCGUACUCGGAGGUGAAUCUGCAGACGCGCUUGCGUCCUCAUCGCACGAUUGUUGGCUUUGUGCAUAAAUACAUUAGCGUUUGCUUGAAAUUGCCGGAGUCAGAAUUGGAUUUGGAGAAUGAGCGUCUCUUCAAUUCGAUGAUUUUGAUUGCGGGUCGUUUGUCACUGCGUGACGCCGUCACGGCCAGCACUACUUGUUCACUCUAUGGUUCCAUUUUGAAAAUUAUCGAUCGUCCGCCAAUUGUGAACACAAUAAUCGUGUCGCUAACGGAUCUCUGUAAGAAGCAUACACAAAUUGUGGAACGUAUCAUUGAGCAUGUGCUGGCGAAGUUGUCGUCGCCGUUUGUCAUGAAUCGCGUGGAGACAUUUAAAUGUUUCGAGAAAUUAGUGUUACAGGAUCAGUUGAAAUUACGUGGUUCCCUGCUGCUGGCGCUUAUGGCUGCCAUCUUAGAUGAGAAUAGAGAAUUGGCUACGCGUGCUUGUGACUUUUUUGUUGAAUAUCUGAGUAAAAAGAAUUCAACGCUCUUUCAAAAAUGUCUAAUAGAAUGCCCGUUCGUCUUCAAUGAAUAUGAGAAUUUCGAUGGGUUGGAUAGCUUUUCGGAUACAGGUAUUAAGUCGCCUUUGAAAGGUGAAGGGAAACGUAAGAGUCGUCAAUUGCUUUAUAAUCACUUGAUGGCUGCGGUGGAUGAAGUGAAUUUGGUACUUUAUUUUGGGCAGCUCAAACUGAUUUCAGAAAAAUCCUUACGUGACUCCUGCAUGAAAAGUCCUGAAGGCCUCGCAUUGCUCAAGGACGUGCUAUUCAUUUUGAAACGCGUCUGCCAAUUGACCAAGGAGCAAAAGCCGAAUGCUGAGAACAAAGAAGGCGACGGAGAGAACAAUACGACGGAUGACGCGAUGGCAAACGAAGUGAGUGUGGCGGAAGAGGCAGGCGCCGCAAAGACUGCAGGUGCAACUACUGCAGGCGGUACAGGACGUGGACGCGGGCGACGACGUGAAAUUAUAACAAUGCCGGAUGCGUUGAAUCUACUCGAAAAGUCUCUAAUAUUCAUACCCACCAUACAUGGCUGCUUCACUGCUCACAACGAUGAAGCAUUGCAAAAGGCUUUCGAUGAUUUGGGCUAUGCAUUGGCGAAGCGUUUUCCCAAUCUGGUGCAAUAUGCACAACCCGCCGAAUUUUGGCGUAAAUAUCGUGAGAAAAUAAUGGCGUUAACGCCGUCGAAGCAAAAGAAAAAAUCGAAAAGAAGAGGGAAAGAAUCCAAAACACCCGAGAAGGCUAAAGCGAACUCUACACAAAUCGAUGAAGAUCUUGUUGCUGCUGUGGAAAUGGAUGAAGAUUUCGAAUGCGACUCAGCGGAUGAAAGUGAUUUCUGUUCGGAUGAUGACUUGCCGUUGGCCAGCAAGAAAUAUGCUGGUUCAUCGCCACAGAAACGUGUGCGCUUGAGCAAUGCCGAAAUACCGAUGGAAUAUUUAUUUAAUCCGAAUAUUUGAAAUGUGAAAUGCUGUGCAGAGCAAGUGAUGAGAUAUAGCGGUACGAUUGUUUAACAGUCAAGAUUCGAAAAUCUCAAGAUUCGCAGAGUGUAAGAUAAAUGCAAGAAAUUUAAAGGAAAAAGAAUCAAGAAUCAAGACUCUAAGUGAGAAUGGCAUAAUAAGAUGAAUGAAAGGAGCUAAGAUUAGCGUUAUUGGAUUCUUUUGAAUUUGAAGCAAUCAGUUACACCAGGCAAUGAGGUUGAAAGCUUCCUACAUCACUUUUUAAAGCAAUCUUAAAUUUUCCUAAAAUUUUUCUCAGUUAAGAAAUAUCAAAACAACCGAACA